rnacentral:rRNA from 1 species
GACGAACGCUGGCGGCGUGCCUAAUACAUGCAAGUUGAGCGCUGAAGGUUGGUACUUGUACCAACUGGAUGAGCAGCGAACGGGUGAGUAACGCGUGGGGAAUCUGCCUUUGAGCGGGGGACAACGUUUGGAAACGAAUGCUAAUACCGCAUAAAAACUUUAAACACAAGUUUUAAGUUUGAAAGAUGCAAUUGCAUCACUCAAAGAUGAUCCCGCGUUGUAUUAGCUAGUUGGUGAGGUAAAGGCUCACCAAGGCGAUGAUACAUAGCCGACCUGAGAGGGUGAUCGGCCACAUUGGGACUGAGACACGGCCCAAACUCCUACGGGAGGCAGCAGUAGGGAAUCUUCGGCAAUGGACGAAAGUCUGACCGAGCAACGCCGCGUGAGUGAAGAAGGUUUUCGGAUCGUAAAACUCUGUUGGUAGAGAAGAACGUUGGUGAGAGUGGAAAGCUCAUCAAGUGACGGUAACUACACAGAAAGGGACGGCUAACUACGUG